GGAGGUGUGGGGAGCUGCAGUGAGUGGGCUGCUCAGGUAGUGUGUGUUAUAGGAGGUGUGGGGAGCUGCAGUGAGCGUGCUGCUCAGGUAGUGUGGGUUAUAGGAGGUGUGGGGAGCUGCAGUGAGCAUGCUGCUCGGGUAGUGUGGGUUAUAGGAGGUGUGGGGAGCUGCAGUGAGUGUGCUGCUUGGGUAGUGUGGGUUAUAG